CGUAGGGACCAAGCGUUGUUCGGAUUUACUGGGCGUAAAGGGCGCGUAGGCGGCGUGUUAAGUCAGCUGUGAAAUCUCCAAGCUUAACUUGGAACGGUCAGCUGAUACUGAUGUGCUAGAGUGCAGAAGGGGCAAUCGGAAUUCUUGGUGUAGCGGUGAAAUGCGUAGAUAUCAAGAGGAGCACCUGAGGUGAAGACGGGUUGCUGGGCUGACACUGACGCUGAGGCGCGAAAGCUAGGGUAGCAAACGGGAUUAGAUACCCCGGUAGUCCUAGCCCUAAACGAUGAAUACGUUGGUGUCUGGAGUUUUUAUCUCCGGGUAGCCGUCGCUAACGUUUUUAGAUUCCGCCUGGGGAGUACGCACGCAAGUGUG
rnacentral:rRNA from 1 species